AUACGGAGGGUGCAAGCGUUACUCGGAAUCACUGGGCGUAAAGCGCGCGCAGGCGGCUAUUUAAGUUGGAUGUGAAAGCCUACGGCUCAACCGUAGAACUGCAUCCAAAACUAUUUAGCUAGAGUGUGGGAGAGGAAGAUGGAAUUAGUUGUGUAGGGGUAAAAUCCGUAGAGAUAACUAGGAAUACCAAAAGCGAAGGCAAUCUUCUGGAACACUACUGACGCUGCGGCGCGAAAGCGUGGGGAGCAAACAGGAUUAGAAACCCUAGUAGUCC
rnacentral:rRNA from 1 species